CUGGGGAGCCUGGUGCCUUCUCAGGAGCCUCGCCGGAGGAGGCGUCAUCAGGGGCCGCCCUGGCUUUGAAAUAUCUCUUCGACGCCUGAUUUCGUUUCCCGUUAAACCUCACAGAGAGUGGCAUAGGGAAUGUUGGGCUCACUUUCACGCGAAGAAACUUGGGGUUACAAAAUUGAGAGUAACGUUAUUUUCCGGGAUGUUUCCUAGGUGUCAGACCUCGAGCCUCGACGGCCCUGAAGUCAUAGUGUUUGUACAAAGUGGUGGCACCAGACCAGGAGGAGCUGAGAGCGAGAUUCCGAGGUGGGGGGAAUGGGGCUGCGCUGUAAGUGACCGAGUGAGACUCCCGAUAUUUAAUUUAGCUUUUUUCAGAAGGAAAAGAAAAAACAAUAAUGAGCCUCGGAGAUGCUCCUUCUGCAUUAACCAGCUAUCGACCUGUCUGCGUCGGACUGCGGGCGGCGAGAAAGAGGACAGGGAAGGGCCAGGCGGCUCUUAGGGACUCAGUCACGCCGGCGGGUGGGGGGGGGGGGCGCCCACAGCCCAGGGGAUGAACCUCCAGACCGAGACGUGCACCCAAGAACCUCGCAUAUUAGAUCCCUCCAGGCUCCCCAGGCCUCGAGCAGAAGCGGCCUCCUGGCUACCCUACUUUCCAAUUGAGAACAGCCCUGGUCUGUCCGGGCCAUCUGCGCGCCACGUCGAGACUCAGCGUCCCAGGCAGCCGCGUCCCAACGUGGCGCUGGUCCCCCAACUCGACAGGUCCAGUGGAGCCCGGCUGUGGGCUGAACUCGAGGGUCCGAGGGCAGCUGAACCUUUUCCAGGGAUUUUUAAUCCAACAGAUUAAAUGGGUCAGAGUGACACACUCGCACAGGGAAGAAAAGCAGGUGCACAGAAGUAGAUUUGGGAAAGUCGCGCGCACGAACGCGCUUCACGCAGAAGCUUCUCCAUCAUCUUGCCUUCUUUCAACAUUCCCAGCGCACAAAGCGCUUUGGAGACUGACUGCAGGCCCUCUCAAUGCAGCCCAGGGAGCGGGGAGUGUUCGGAGAGGGUGUCUGUCCAUCGCACACGCUUGGCGCGCGUGCGCCGGAUGCGCACCGGGAACGGCUGCCCGACGUGUGCCCAGGGCCCGCGGCCCGCCAGGUUCUGGGGGCUGCGCCUCGCACUUCACAAGAGGGGAGUCACCAGGCCCGCUUCCUGCCCCCUCCUCGCCCAGCCUCACGGUGCUCACACGUCCCCGUCGAGGGGAGCCGCGGCAGCCCUCGGACUCCCAGCCCCGGCUCAUCUUCUAUCCUUCCCUCCCAGGCCCUAAGUCCCCGGGCUGCGGUGCGGGCCGGCGAUCUCUGAGCUUCCUGCAGGCGCUGCGGCGCGCGCUCCCACCGUUCCCUCCCCCUCGCGCUCGGGUUACAGCAGCCGCGGACUCCUGAGAGCGUGGCCUGGCGUCCGCACAGGGUGGAAUUCGUAUUUGGCCAGGAAUCCGGACUCCGAUCAUCCCAGGAGACGCGGACCGGGGGCCUCCAGAGCUCUCCGGAGCGUGCUGCCGCUCCCCACCAGCCACCAGGGACUCGGAGGCCCUUCCUGGGUCCGGAGAAGCGACGGGGACACUUAGGGGAAAACUUUGCCAACUUCGCUCUUGGCGCGGAAGAGGCCGCUGGCCGGAAUGGUGCAGCAGCGGCGGCGGGCCGCGACGCGCAGGGUGGGCCCCGGGCCAGUGCUGGGCACCCUGGAGCGCGUCGGGAUGCCCAAAGUGGGGCGUGAGGCCGGUGGGCUCUUUGCUCCUCCGCUUCGCCCCUGCGCCUCCCGCGACCCGUCUCACUUCCCUGCGUCUCUGAGCGGCCCGAGAGGCGCAGCGCUCAGAGUGGCCUUGAUGGAAGAACCUGGCCCUCGGCGGGAACGAUUUUCUUUUGCUUUACCUCUUCUGGAUCAGCCGUUUUCCACCUGACUUGAGCAGCCCCCUCCCCCAUGCCUUUUUUUUCUCGUUCCCUCCGUCUGUCCUCACAAUUUCCUCUAUCUUCGAUUUCUAGAUCAUUCGCUUUUCUUCUCUUUCCUCCGCUUCCUCAUUGUGCUGUUUUUAUGCCUUUGCCCUGGACCACUUUUCAGUUCACUUUUCUCCCUUCUGCUCCCUCCCUCACCCCCUUCUUAAUGUCUCUUUUUUCCUCGCCCUGAGUCUGUGACUGUGUCCCUUUCCCCCAUCUGCAGUUGCCGUUUUUGAUUUUCUUUCUUUCCUCCCCACUUCCAUCCGGAUCCUCUCCUAUUUCCUCCUUGGAUUUCUGUCUCUCAGGUUCUGUCUCUCAGGUUCUCCUCUCCGUAAAUAUUCUCUCCUCUCCCUCUCCGGGAUCCGUCCCCUCCCCCACGUGGAUCUGCCUCCCCGGCGCCCCCUCCUCAUUCAUCCUGGGAGAUGAAUUUGUCGCCUUAUUGGACGCCGAGGCCAGAGCCGUGUGAGGGGGCUCGGCCAGCGCUGUGCAUUUUCUUCAUGCAUAUUGAGGAGAUGGUAAUGAGCGCGUUUGCAUUGUUGCUUGGAAAUGUUGUGUUUCCUGCCGCAGUUCGCAGUUCGGAGUGGGCGAGGGUGGUGUGGGCCCAGGACAGCCCCUCAGUAGGCACCCGGCCUGGCGGCCGCCGCUGACCCUCUCCGGAUUCCCGGGCUCUGGGGGCCGGGGGAGGAAGCGACCUUGCCGAGCUCCUGACCCGGCCGCCGCCUCCUCCUCCGGUUUGUCCACAAAGGCCGUCGCGCUCCCCUCAUUAAAGCCUCGUUACAGGAACCCCCGGCUGGCUCGCGACGGCUCCUCCGAGCCCCCCUGCCCACCGGCCUCUGAGCCCCUCCCCUGAUUUGAGAGGCCUGUGAUGGAGCGCCACCAGAAAAUUAGUGCCUGACAACGUCGUCUAUUGGCAAUAAAUUGAGAUUCCAAGUGACACGUCGCGGGAUCAAACACAGCCACAUUGUUGUGUACCCUGCUCCGCUCGCUCCUCGUUAAUCUUGGAGGGCGCCUUGGCAUCGCUUGGCCAGGGGAGGUUGUAGGCAGGCCUUUCGGCUGUCAGGACUCGGAUCCUGCCUCUGCCCUGGCUGAGCCCACUUCAGUCAUUCAGGAGGGACUGACUGCCCCUCCCUGAUAAGGUCCAAGGCGCUCAGGAGGCGUGACCCAGGAACGCCUUUCAAUAAGCUGAAGGUUUAUUAAAGUCAGGAGCUUCGAGGGGCAAACUCUGAGUUAAGCUUGUGGGGAAUCGACGUGAGCCUUGCUGGGAAUUCAGAACAUCAAGGUCUGGCCUUGUCUGGAAUUGUCUGGUGUCGAGUUUCCCAAACUUCAAGCUUCCCGCUACUACCUUUAUUAUUUACUUAACAUUUUUCCUUAAAUUGACUCAUUUUUAAAAUCAAAGUACAUAUUUUUGGAAAGAAAAUCUGAUACUACCACUGUAAAUUGAAAAGUAGCUGUUACUCACCAGAAAAGGAAGUGGUAAAAGAUAAACACAGCUAAAACCAAGCAAUGUUAAUACAUGUUAGCCGUUUUGCUGGCUUGGAAAGACUCCUAGAGGCUCAGCUGUGAUGCCACGAGAAUACUCAGAUAGCACACGGACAGGCCCACAUGGCAAUGAAUUGCAACUUGCCAGCAACCAUGUGGGUUAGCUUGAAGUGAAUUCUCUAGUCCUGUGUCUUCAGGUGACUGUAGCCCUGGCUGACCAUGUGACUGAACCUGAGGAGAAGCUGAGCCAAAGGCACACAGAUAAGCUGCACCUGGAUUCCUGACUACAGAAACUGUGAAGUAAUAAAUGUUUGCUGUUCAAAGCCAAGGGUUGGCAAAAUAUAUUCCACUUGUUUCUGUAAAUAAAGUUUUACUGGAACACGGUAAUGUUCACUAAUGUGCCUAUUGUUAUGGCUGCUUUCAUACUUCAACAGUAGUAGCUAUUGAGUAGUUGCAGCAAAAGACUAUAUGUCCACAGGACUAAAAUAUUUACUAUGUGGCCCUU
rnacentral:lncRNA from 1 species